GGUUACAAAGAGUCGGACACGAUUAAAGUGACUUAGCACACACACAUACUUAACUGUAUAUUCUAUUGGGAGCCACCACAAAAGCUAUAGUCCCCUGCGGGUAGAGUGGCUAUAAAGAACAGCCUGUCAAAGACUGAAAAUGAAAAAAAGGCUUUUCCACCCUAUGUUUGUUGAUACUUCAUUAGAGAUGCUGCCUAAGCAGAAAAAUAAGGAUUUUCUGUGUUUAACCCCCAAACUGCUGUAGGGCUUACAAACAGGCUCAAGUGUAUCUGACCUUGAUGGAUGAGAAGGGCAUGCUAGGAUCCUAGGGAAAAUUAGCACCUUCAUUUUUGUGUCUGAUUGUAAUUGCAGCCUCCACUCCAACUUCAAAGGUGGAAGAUGUCUGUCAGAGGGAACUGCCUUUGCAGUUUGAAGGAUGUACCCCUGCCAAACGUGGGUUCACAGCUACUGAGAGGCUACCAUAAAGUCCCAGGAGUGUGAAUGGUGUUAAGGACAGCCCAGCUCAUGAGGUCCACAGGAUCCUAAAAAACACGAUGAUGUGAGUAUUUGAAAAUCAAACAGAAAGCCUGGAACUACAGACUAAGGGUGAACAAUGGCCUUUUUCCAAGAAAUAACUGGGAACAUGGAACCUGAACCAAAUGCUUGAAUAAGGAUAAGGGAACAAUUAGCAGCCAUUUAAGGUAACCUAUCCUUUUAAUUUUAUGUCAAACUACUGGAAAAAGCAGAAUAGCUAGCCUAAUUUACAUGCACUUAAUGGGGUGGAUCUUUUUAUUUUUAAUUGGAGGAUAGAGCCUCCCUCCAGCUCUGCCCCCAUCCCACCUGAGUCGGUUGUCCCGGAGCACUGAUCUCAGCUCCCUGUGCCAGCCGCUUCCCGCGAGCCUUCCACGCAGGCGGUAUAUGUGUCAGCGCUACUCUCUCAACUCAUCCCACCCUCUCUCCCCCCCAUCUCCACAAGUCU